rnacentral:lncRNA from 1 species
UGCUGGGCCAGUUACUCAGGCCCAAUGGCCUUUGGGAACGAAAGCCCAGUGAUUUACAACUCAAAAUUUCAUACACCAUUGCAAAAAAUGAAAGAACUACGAACUAAUCUAAGCAUGAGUACAUGUUCAUCCGGAUUUAAAAUUACAACACCAAAUUCACUACAUCAGAAAUCUUGACUUGAAUUUAUAAUAACAAACGCUUUUAUGAACUAGCAUCCUACAUUUCUGGGAUUAAACAAUGUCAUAACAAAUAAGGUUUCCGAUAAUUAAUUCAUAUCUCCUGAUGCCUUUGACUCGUACAAGUUUAAACUCUUCAUUCAACCUUCAAACUCAUGUGCUUAAAAACUUCAGUGGCUAGCAAACUCAAGCCCGAUCUCUCACAAAUUUAUUAAGUGUUCACAAUCACCAAUAACAUGAUGAUGUUAAUUCUCAAAUUGCUAACACGUAUCAUACUAAGCUAAACACAAAUCAAUCUGUUACAAUUAGAGGCAGAUUUUUGUUUUUACUCAAACACAGAAAUAUUGUCACAAAAACAUACUAGAUUUGACUUUGUGACAUCUUAUCUAAAAACAUUAAUCGCGCGAAGAGCAAUAAUGGAUCUGGACACACAUAGAUCUAUGAAGAACCAACAUGAUUUCAAUUUGAGGAAUUACAAACUACUUAAGUGUCAGCAACACGAGUCAAGGAAUGCAUUUUAAUUUCAUAACCAAAACAUGCCAUAUCAUCAUUAAACUCAAUACAUUUAGAGAUCUAUAAGAAGCACUAAGUUAAAACCUGAACAACGAGAGAGAUUUAGGACCAAAUAAAGUUUAGAAAAUUCGAAGAGGGAGCUCAGCUACGAAACCAUAGAAUCAACAGCGAAUCAACAACAAUUAAUAGAGUUUUUGAGAUGGAAUUACUCCUUUGGAACCCAACAAGUAAGGAAUAAUCGGUCACAGGUGGAAACACUCUUCAAAUCCUUUUGAAAUCCUAAGCUUUCUACUGUUUUUGGAGUCUUUGAUCUCAGAUCUCUUUUUUGAAUUUUUUUGACUUUAGAAAUUUUUGGUUUUCCGCUGUUUUUGAAUACUGCUGAAUUUUCAGAGUGAAAUGGGUCUGUGUGCGAAUUUUUUAGACUCUGAAUACAUGCCCAAAGUAUGAGGAGGAAUGCCUUAUUUAUAGAUUAUUGGUUAGGGCUCUUUUCAAAUUUCCCUUUUUGUUUUACCCCUCUUAUUUUCAGUUUUUACUCCAACAGUCCCUAAUAAUAACAAACCCUUCUACAUCUUCUUUGCAAAUUAAUCAUUUUCAACACCUUCCUCGAAGUUUCCUAAAAGAUUCUCUAAGGGUGGAAUUCCUUAAUUAUCCCGUGUCUUUCCAGUAUUUACCAAUUUUUAGAAAUUAACUUUCUUUUAACUCAAUUACUACUCUUGUUUUACCACAUAUUUCACUAAAUUUCUGGCAGUGAGCCUUAGACUAAAAGAAUAAUAGGCAAUGUCGACCUGGGCUCAAAGCCCACUGGUCUUUUGUAUUUUUGACAAGUCUGUUAAUGACCUAGCCUAAUUUCAUUUAAAUUUGAACCAAACUAACUAAGAGAGUAUUUAAACACUAACAAAAUAUAUGGAAAAUUUACAACAAAAAUAAAAAAUAAGCCAACUCAUAAACUAAUUAGCUAACACAAAAUCGAACUAACAGAAGAAUACUCUUAACUUCUAAUGCUAUUUGAUCAAUAAUUAAAAUAUGCGAUUAUUCACCUAUAAAUAAAAAAAAUGACAACACAUAAAAAAACCAUAGAAGAAGAGGAGGGAAGAGUAUACCUAUUGGAUCAAACCGAGCUGUCAAGAGAAAAUUCCGAUGAGCCAGAGGAUUGCUACACAAGCACCAACCAAAAUUUGUCACGCCGGCCAGUGCUAUAUGUAGCAAUAGCUCUUGCAUGCUGGAGGUGAUGAACGAAGAAGCUUUGAGAGGACUGGCCGGUCAACCAGAAUUUGAUCGGGCCCCGAUGGCCACGAAAUGAGACGAAACCACCACCAAUCGACAAUACUCAUCAAGAGAUGUCGAUUAGUGUGAAUUUUAACCUCAGACGUGUAAGAAUAGAAGAGGAAUCAAGAAAGACUUAAAUUCCCAGGUCUACUAAUCGUGGAGUUUGGGUGGAUUUUUACGGAAAUGGUUGAGAAAUUAGGGACGAGGAGGAGUGAGGAGUAUCUGGUGAAAAUAUUUAGCCAAUUGGUGGUGGUCCGCCGCCGUGGCGAUUUUCGGCGGCGAUCAGACGGUGGUCCUCCACGGCGUGAAGGCGGAAGGAGGACAGUGGGCGGUGAAAGCAAUUUUUGGCCGCCCAAGAGAGAUGAGAGAGAAUGGGGAUUAGGGGUGGUGUAUAAAUAUUGAAUUUUUAUCAAUCAUUUUUAUUAUAAAGGGAAAAUCAGUGAAAUGACAUAGCUAUGUUGCGAGACUACUUUGUUUAGAUGGUCUGAUGCUAAGAUUGUUUGGACCGGGUAUUGAAUUGUACUGCACGGGUAUUCUUAGUAAAACUGGGCCCAAAAUCGUGGCCCAGUCUCAUUUUGAGCUUAGUAGCCUUAUCCUCCCUUCUUCUUCAUUUUACAAUUAGCCACUAAUCAACUGACAUACCAUUUGCAAAAUUAUCCUACUAACUGAUUCUAUCUAAUGACUUACUAUAAAAAUUAUAAAUUAUCCUACUAAUUAUGUGAGUAAGUAGGUCCAAAAAUGCAGAGUUAUUAGCUAAUAUAUUUUUAUGAUUUUGUGUUUAAUAAAAACUGCAAUUAGCAGGCAUUUGAGUGCCAGCAAUGCAAUUAGAAUCUGAAAAUACGAUGAAUGAAAUAAAAAGGUAUUUUUGGUGAUUUUCUAUGAUUUAACAUGCUCUUAGUAAUACAAAUAAUGCAUACAAACUAACAAAGAAAAAAUCUUUAAAGUUUCAAGAAAAAUCAAAAUAAUUGAUAAUACUAUUUUUAGACCUUUUAGGAGCAAUUUCAGGUGAGGCAAAAAUUACGUGCUCACAGUAACCUGUACAUGCAACCUAGUUCUUCCAUAUAAUCAAUCUGGUUUGUUAAUGGUGUACCCUGUGUUGAAAAACACAAUUAGGGAUUGGUGUACCCUAUACUGAAAAAGAGAUUAGGGAGUGAUGUACCCUAUACUGAAAAAGAGACUAGGGAGUAAUGUACCCUAUAUUAGCAAUGAGAUCAGGGAAUGUUGUACCCUACAUUUAAGAUCAUUAACUAGGGAAUGAUGUACCCUAUACUGGUAAAGAGACUAGGGAGUGGUGUACGCUAUAUUAGCAAUGAGAUCACGAAAUGGUGUACCCUACAUUACAUAUAUAUACUAAACUAUACUAUAUAUACUAAACUAUACUAUAUAUAUAUAUAUAUAUAUAUAUAUAUAUAUAUACUAUACACUUAGUAUAUAUUUACUUUUUAGUAGUAACAUGAAAGGACCAAAGUAUGGUACUUCUUAGCUGGUAUAAAUAUGGAAGGAUAAAAGAUCAAGUUUUAGCUCAACUCAGUAUAUAUUAUAGUAUAGUAUAUAUAUAAGCUAUAUUUGNNNNNNNNNNNNNNNNNNNNNNNNNCUAUUUUAUAAAUAGCCAAUGGCUAUAUUUUAUUUUAUUUUAAAUUUUGUUUUUUUUUUAAAAAAUAAAAAUAAAUUAGCCGUUGGGACCGUUUGGCCCGCUAAGGGACCGGGCCGGUCCCAGACCCUGGCGGGCUAACGGUCCCGGGCCUGACGAGCUCAGAUCAUAGGACCGACCCACGAGACUGGCCCAGAACCGCUAAAAUCGGGCCAAACAGUCCUGGCCCGUUUAGCCCGUUUGGCCCGUUUGGCCCGCGGUCCCGGGCCUGGACCGGCCCACUUGCCACCCUUACCCACUGGUCUUCUGUAUUUUUGACAAGUCUGUUAAUGACCUAGCCUAAUUUCUUUUAAAUUUGAACCAAACUAACUAGGACAGUAUUUAAACACUAACAAAAUAUAUGGGAAAUUUACAACAAAAAUAAAAAAUAAGUUAACUCAUAAACUAAUUAGCUAACACAAAAUCGAACUAACAGAAGAAUACUCUUAACUUCUAAUGCUAUUUGAUCAAUAAUUAAAACAUGCGAUUAUUCACCUAUGAAUUACAAACACUGACAACACAUAAAAAAAGAAAAAACGUAGAAGAAAAGGAGGGAAGAGUAUACCUAUUGGAUUAAACCGAGCUGUCAAGAGGAAAUUCCGAUGAGCCGGAGGAUUGCUACACAAGCACCAACCAAAAUUUGUCAUGCCGGCCAGUGCUAUAUGUAGCAAUAGCUCCUGCAUGCUGGAGGUGAUGAACGAAGAAGCUUUGAGAGGACUGGCAGGUCUACCAGAAUUUGAUCGGGCCCCGAUGGCCACGAAAUGAGACGAAACCACCACCAAUCGACAAUACUCAUCAAGAGAUGUCGAUUAGUGUGAAUUUUAACCUUAGACAAGUAAGAAUUGAAGAGGAAUCAAGAAAGGGGCAAUUUCAGUUUUUCUUAAAUUCUCAGGUCUACUAAUCGUGGAGUUUGGGUGGAUUUUUGCGAAAAUGGUUGAGAAAUUAGGGACGAGGAGGAGUGAGGAGUAUCUGGUGAAAAUUUUAGCCAAUUGGCAGUGGUCCGCCGCCGUGACAAUUUUCGGCGGCGGUUAGACGGUGGUCCACCGUGGCGUGAAGGCGGAAGGAGGACAGUGGGCGGCGAAAGCAAUUUUCGGCCGCCCAAGAGAGAUGAGAGAGGAUGGGGAUUAGGGGUGGUGUAUAAAUAUUGAAUUUUUAUCAAUCAUUUUUAUUAUAAAGGGGAAAACAG